GCAGAUCUUGGUGGUAGUAGCAAAAAUUCAAGCGAGAGCCUUGAGGACUGGAGUGGAGAAGGGUUCCAUGCGAACAGCGAUUGGACAUGGGUGAGUCGAUCCUAAGAGAUUGGGUAAUUCCGUGAGAGAAGCACUAAACUGGUGCUAUCCAUCGAAAGGGAAACGGGUUAAUAUUCCCGUACCAAGCAGCGGAGUUUGUGCGGUAACGCAAAUGAACUCGGAAACAUCGGCAAAGGCCCUGGGGAGAGUUCUCUUUUCUAUUUAACAGUUCCGACAGCCGUGGAAACGAGUUAUUCGGAGAAGCGGGGGCGCGACUGGCAGAACAGUGCCUUCGUGCAUUGUCCGGUGUGCUUUUGUCGAUCCUUGAAAAACCGAGGGAAAAUAAAACUCUCGUCCUUGAUCGUACCCAAAACCGCAUCAGGUCUCCAAGGUGAGUAGCCUCUAGUCGAUAGAUCAAAGUAGGUAAGGGAAUUCGGCAAAUUAGAUCCGUAACUUCGGGAUAAGGAUUGGCUCUGAUUGUUGCGUGCACGGCUACCGCUGCGGACGUGCGUAGUUAUGUACUUCAAAGCUGUGCAAAUACCGAGCGAUAUCUACACAAGGAGUGGGGGUAACCAUCGGGGUUAGCGGCAGUGUUUCUAUCUAACCAUCCCCCCGUCGGUAUUCGGAUCGGCCCCCGGAUGUAACGCGUCCCGCGCACGGGCGCGAGGGCGAUGCCACGGAUGGGCGUGGCAGAUGGCUGAACCCAUCCUGUUGCUACGCGUGUAUGACACAACCGGGCGCGGCCCCUCCUAUACCAUGGUACCUCCGCGGGUGUCUCGGAACACGCAUCUGCUCUGGAAACUGGGAUCCGUGCAUGCGACUAUAUUAGAACUGGCGCGGACAACGGGAGUCCGACUGUUUACUAAAAACGUAGCAUCGUGAUGGUCCCUGCGGAUGUUGACACGAUGUGAAUCCUGCCCAGUGCUCUGUCCGUCAAUCCAGAGAAAUCCAGGCAAGCAUGGGUAAACGGCGGGAGUAACUAUG
rnacentral:rRNA from 1 species